AGAGAAUGUUCUAGUUUCAUUCUUUUACACGUAGCUGUCCAGUUUUCCCAGCACCACUUCUGACAAAGAUUUGACCUUACUGCAUUUUGUGUCUGUGUCCUAUAGGUUCUACUGUGAGGAAUUUCCGAAUAAAAAGUACCAAGAAAAUGACAAGUGAAAUCUUAUGGGCUGAGGGAUUACCUACCAUCCUGUUGUCAUGACUUCCAAUUUGUCAAUCAAGACAGCUUGGUACUAUAUCCAGAGACAAGGGUUUUCCAGUAAACAGACAAUGAUAGGUAUGCACUCAGGUAACCUCCAUCCAGAUGAAGAUGUAGAAAAAUUUCAGCCCUCCAUAAGGAAGCGGCUCUCCAGGAAGUCACAGAGGUGGGAUCUGCAGGGGCAGAACCCAGGGCCUGCAGGUGCGAAAGGGCCUGGUUCAGGUUCUUCUCCCCGAGAAUGGCAGCCUCCACCGCGUCCUGGGUUUUACCCCAUUCAUCUUGAGACGGCUUCUGCACGUCCUGGAAGAGGGCACAGCCGCCAUGCUGGUUUUGCAUUUUCAAGAGACACUUAGGCCCUCGCACUUCUCCUCAGCCUAUUCAUGGAAAAAGCGGCCCAAGCCCUCCGGAGCCACAUCGUCGUGGUUGAAAUAGAAGCCCAGA